GAUGAACGCUGGCGGCGUGCCUAAUACAUGCAAGUCGAGCGAACGGACGAGAAGCUUGCUUCUCUGAUGUUAGCGGCGGACGGGUGAGUAACACGUGGAUAACCUACCUAUAAGACUGGGAUAACUUCGGGAAACCGGAGCUAAUACCGGAUAAUAUUUUGAACCGCAUGGUUCAAAAGUGAAAGACGGUCUUGCUGUCACUUAUAGAUGGAUCCGCGCUGCAUUAGCUAGUUGGUAAGGUAACGGCUUACCAAGGCAACGAUGCAUAGCCGACCUGAGAGGGUGAUAGGCCACACUGGAACUGAGACACGGUCCAGACGCCUAAGGGAGGCAGCAGUAGGGAAUCUUACGCAAUGGGCGAAAGCCUGACGGAGCAACGCCGCGUGAGUGAUGAAGGUCUUCGGAUCGUAAAACUCUGUUAUUAGGGAAGAACAUAUGUGUAAGUAACUGUGCACAUCUUGACGGUACCUAAUCAGAAAGCCACGGCUAACUACGUG
rnacentral:rRNA from 1 species